rnacentral:rRNA from 1 species
UGACGAGGCACUACGGUGCUGAAGCAACAAAUGCCCUGCUUCCAGGAAAAGCCUCUAAGCAUCAGGUAACAUCAAAUCGUACCCCAAACCGACACAGGUGGUCAGGUAGAGAAUACCAAGGCGCUUGAGAGAACUCGGGUGAAGGAACUAGGCAAAAUGGUGCCGUAACUUCGGGAGAAGGCACGCUGAUAUGUAGGUGAAGUCCCUCGCGGAUGGAGCUGAAAUCAGUCGAAGAUACCAGCUGGCUGCAACUGUUUAUUAAAAACACAGCACUGUGCAAACACGAAAGUGGACGUAUACGGUGUGACGCCUGCCCGGUGCCGGAAGGUUAAUUGAUGGGGUUAGCGGUAACGCGAAGCUCUUGAUCGAAGCCCCGGUAAACGGCGGCCGUAACUAUAACGGUCCUAAGGUAGCGAAAUUCCUUGUCGGGUAAGUUCCGACCUGCACGAAUGGCGUAAUGAUGGCCAGGCUGUCUCCACCCGAGACUCAGUGAAAUUGAACUCGCUGUGAAGAUGCAGUGUACCCGCGGCAAGACGGAAAGACCCCGUGAACCUUUACUAUAGCUUGACACUGAACAUUGAGCCUUGAUGUGUAGGAUAGGUGGGAGGCUUUGAAGUGUGGACGCCAGUCUGCAUGGAGCCGACCUUGAAAUACCACCCUUUAAUGUUUGAUGUUCUAACGUUGACCCGUAAUCCGGGUUGCGGACAGUGUCUGGUGGGUAGUUUGACUGGGGCGGUCUCCUCCUAAAGAGUAACGGAGGAGCACGAAGGUUGGCUAAUCCUGGUCGGACAUCAGGAGGUUAGUGCAAUGGCAUAAGCCAGCUUGACUGCGAGCGUGACGGCGCGAGCAGGUGCGAAAGCAGGUCAUAGUGAUCCGGUGGUUCUGAAUGGAAGGGCCAUCGCUCAACGGAUAAAAGGUACUCCGGGGAUAACAGGCUGAUACCGCCCAAGAGUUCAUAUCGACGGCGGUGUUUGGCACCUCGAUGUCGGCUCAUCACAUCCUGGGGCUGAAGUAGGUCCCAAGGGUAUGGCUGUUCGCCAUUUAAAGUGGUACGCGAGCUGGGUUUAGAACGUCGUGAGACAGUUCGGUCCCUAUCUGCCGUGGGCGCUGGAGAACUGAGGGGGGCUGCUCCUAGUACGAGAGGACCGGAGUGGACGCAUCACUGGUGUUCGGGUUGUCAUGCCAAUGGCACUGCCCGGUAGCUAAAUGCGGAAGAGAUAAGUGCUGAAAGCAUCUAAGCACGAAACUUGCCCCGAGAUGAGUUCUCCCUGACUCCUUGAGAGUCCUGAAGGAACGUUGAAGACGACGACGUUGAUAGGCCGGGUGUGUAAGCGCAGCGAUGCGUUGAGCUAACCGGUACUAAUGAACCGUGAGGCUUAACCUU